rnacentral:lncRNA from 10 species
AGGCAAUGUUCCUCUUCUGAGACCCCUCCUAUCUAUCUGCCUAACCAGCCUCUACCUGCCUCCUCUCUCAUUCCAGUGGUGACCCUAAUUGCCAUUAGAGGGAGAGGGUAGAUGACCGCUCAGGCUUCUUCAAGCUGUGAGAGGGCAUUGUUACUGUGGCAGUAAGGGAUCCUCCAGAGGAUGGUCUAAUGGGCCUGAGAGGAAGGGUUCUUUCACACAGGGUUCCAUCUGCAUCAUGAUCUGGAGUUUGAUGGCCUCUAUGCAAGAAGAAACAAAUUUGGCUAAAAGAUGUAACACACAUGGUCCAAAAACCAGGACUUGAGAAUACGACACGGAGACAGAAGAAAAACAGAAUCAGAAGCAAAGCUGGAUAAUGAAUGGAAAUAGAAGUGGACAGAAGUGGAGAAAGAUGAGAUAGAUCACCAGAGAAAAGAGCAGAGGAUACAGACUUCUGAGGUAUAACCAAGAAGGUGCAAGAAUCAUUGCUGUUGGAAGCGAAGUUCCUCUUUGUUGAAGUUAAUACCUUGAAAAUGACUAUCUCAAGAACUUAGCUGGCAUCCCUCCAGAUGUUCUAUCAGAUGUACCUAACCAUGCUGCUCUCACAAAAGUCAUGAUGUGACAAAGUGAUGAGGCAACGGUUUACUCAGUUUCUCUAAAAGGAAUAACCCUUCUCCAUCCGUACUGCAUCCAAUAAUUCUAUAAACCUGAAUUAAUUUUCUAUUGGUCAAUCAAUCUUUCCAUUGAGAUGGAUAAAUGUGUCAGAGUUUACUACAACUACCUGUUUUCAUAUCCGAAUUUACCAUGACUAUAAGCUCCUCAAGUCUAGGAGUCUUUUAUUUCCUUUAAUUUGCAGUACCAAGCAAACGUUCCACAGAGGUCAUCUGAAAUAAAGGCUUAAAUUUUGUGAAGACUUGUCAAGUUUUG